UUUGGAUCCUGGGUAGGACCCGGUGGGGGCGUGCUUAACACAUGCAAGUCAAGGACAGGGGAGCUUGCUUUUCUGGUUAGUGGCGAACGGGUGAGUAACACGUGAGUAACCUGCCCUUCACUCUGGGAUAACUCCGGGAAACCGGGGCUAAUACUGGAUAUGACCUGNUSGSGSAUGSGAUGUGGGUGGAAAGAUUUAUUGGUGGGGGAUGGACUCGCGGCCUAUCAGCUUGUUGGUGAGGUAAUGGCUUAUCAAGGCGACGACSGGCAGCCGGCCUGAGAGGGCGAUCGGCCACACUGGGACUGAGACACGGNCCAGACUCCUACGGGAGGCAGCAGUGGGGAAUAUUGCACAAUGGGCGAAAGCCUGAUGCAGCGACSCCGCGUGAGGGAUGAAGGCCUUSGGGUUGUAAACCUCUUUCAGCAGGGAAGAAGUGGCCGGGUUUUCUCGGUUGUGACGGUACCUGCAGAAGAAGCACCGGCUAANUACGUGNCAGCAGCNGNGGUAAUACNUAGGGUGCGAGNGUUGUCCGGAAUUAUUGGCCGUAAAGAGCUUGUANGNSGUUUGUCGCGUCUGCUGUGAAAUUUCSGGGCUCNNCCCCGAACUUGCAGUGGGUACGGGCAGACUANNGUGUGGUAGGGGAGACUGGAAUUCCUGGNGUANSGGNGAAAUGCGCAGAUAUCAGGAGGAACACCGAUCGCGAAGGCAGGUCUCUGGGGCCCUACCUGACGCUGAGAAGC
rnacentral:rRNA from 1 species